CUCAUUUAAUUGCCAUAAUUAUGAUUUAAAAAUACAAAUAUACACAUACACAUCUCAUAUACAGGGUGUAUAAAAAGUAAUCCAACUUUGGCAUCGUGCAUUAUAUAUUACGUCUAUCCAUUUACGUUUUUCAUGCCAAUAAAGAUCAGGCUUUUAGCUGUCGAAUAGCUUUCUUGUAUCAUUGCGAUAAAAAAUAAUCAAUACUCUACGACCCGAUUUAAAAAUUCCGGUCGAAAUCGCAUUUUUCCACCGUUGGGAAUUACAUAAAAAGCUAUUGUCUGAGUAUUAAAUUGUUCUCAUUUGGGAUUGAAAUUGAAUUCCCCGAUUAAACAUGGCGCAACGCAAGUGUGAGCAUCAAGUUUUGAUAAACUUUUAUUCGCGAUUUUCCACCGAAAUUAACUGAUAUAAAAACGAAGGCGAGAGUUUGUAUAUCAGAUAAAGAUCGGAUGCGACCCAUCUUAUGAGUUCAUUGGCGAAGUAAUUUUAAAAAUAAACAUUGUCUAAGCAGAGGAAAUCAAAGCUGAAGUUUAUGUAAAUCAUGACAAAUCUUUAUGCGAUUUACCACAGGCGGCUCAAUCUCAGAAUGAAUGAUCAGGUGUUGAGGGUUUUUAACGGUUUUUAUAAACAAAUUUAUAGUCAACCAAAACUAUUCUAAAAUGUGUGUGCUCAUUAUAUAUAAUAUAACAGUAAAAGGCUAAUCACAGGCGGCACGACCGCAUCGCCUUCAAAGUCAAAUAUCUCCGCUCAAAUUUGUCGAACGCCAAAACAAAUUCGAUUACAUCUUUUCACAAAGUUUUUAAAUAAUAUGGUUUGAUCAUAGUUUGGGCAAAUUUAGCGACGAACGGAACAAAAAUCUCCUCAACUUCGUCACGUCCACGAUCGUGCCCGAGCAGCCCUAAGUAUUUUGAACAGUAUCCGAAAUUGAGGAGAUUUUUGUUCCGUUCGUCG